rnacentral:lncRNA from 1 species
UUGUGUGUGAUUUGUUUGUUUUGGCUUAUUUGUAUGUUUCUUGUUUAUUUUGGCUUAUUUAAUUUGGCUUAUUUGUAUGUUUCUUGUUUAUGUUGGCUUAUUUGUAUGUUUCUAAAUUUAAUGUCACGUCUAUUUCGAUGAACAAGUUAAGGGCAUACGAUACAGUUACAGGGGAGGUAAUGACGUUGCUAACGUAAAAUGUUAUUUUCG